GCCUGGGUGGCGAAAUUGGUAGACGCACAGGACUUAAAAUCCUGGGCCUCGAAAGGGGCGUGCCGGUUCGAUUCCGGCCCUAGGCACCA
rnacentral:tRNA from 1 species